UACGUAGGGGGCAAGCGUUGUCCGGAUUUAUUGGGCGUAAAGAGCGUGUAGGCGGCUUUACAGGUCCGCUGUGAAAACUCGAGGCUCAACCUCGAGCUGUCGGUGGAAACCGUUUGGCUAGAGUCCGGAAGAGGAGAGUGGAAUUCCUGGUGUAGCGGUGAAAUGCGCAGAUAUCAGGAAGAACACCCGUGGCGAAGGCGGCUCUCUGGGACGGUACUGACGCUGAGACGCGAAAGCGUGGGGAGCGAACAGG
rnacentral:rRNA from 1 species